AGCCGGCCUGAGAGGGUGACCGGCCACACUGGGACUGAGACACGGCCCAGACUCCUACGGGAGGCAGCAGUGGGGAAUAUUGCACAAUGGGCGAAAGCCUGAUGCAGCGACGCCGCGUGAGGGAUGACGGCCUUCGGGUUGUAAACCUCUUUCAGUAGGGAAGAAGCGAAAGUGACGGUACCUGCAGAAGAAGCGCCGGCUAACUACGUGCCAGCAGCCGCGGUAAUACGUAGGGCGCAAGCGUUAUCCGGAAUUAUUGGGCGUAAAGAGCUCGUAGGCGGUUUGUCGCGUCUGCCGUGAAAGUCCGGGGCUCAACCCCGGAUCUGCGGUGGGUACGGGCAGACUAGAGUGAUGUAGGGGAGACUGGAAUUCCUGGUGUAGCGGUGAAAUGCGCAGAUAUCAGGAGGAACACCGAUGGCGAAGGCAGGUCUCUGGGCAUUAACUGACGCUGAGGAGCGAAAGCAUGGGGAGCGAACAGGAUUAGAUACCCUGGUAGUCCAUGCCGUAAACGUUGGGCACUAGAUGUGGGGGACAUUCCACGUUUUCCGCGUCGUAGCUAACGCAUUAAGUGCCCCGCCUGGGGAAGUACGGA
rnacentral:rRNA from 1 species